GUAGGAGCCUCUCUCCCUACUGCUGCUACACAAGACCCUGAGACUGACCUGCAGGAAGAAACUAUGAAGAGCCUGAUCCUUCUUGCCAUCCUGGCCGCCUUAGUGGUAGUAACUUUGUGUUAUGAAUCACAUGAAAGCAUGGAAUCUUAUGAACUUAGUAAGUGAAUAUUUAACUUCUUUAUUCAAAUCCCUUGCAUUAAAGAACCUCUUCUUAUUUUUAAAUAAACAAGAUGGAAAGAUAUAUAACAGGGAGGGAAAAGGGGGCCUCUUUUGGAAAACUAAAGUAAAUUUUUAAAUCGAAUGACUAUAAAAAUUGCCAAAGGAGCAAUUUUUUAAGCUUGAAGUAGUGCAGUAUGGGAUUUAAGUUACAGGCGACAUAUUUAGAAGCCAUAAAAUCUCAUUUGGAAAUUUUAAAUUGGCACCACGUCAACUGCACAGAUGGAAAACGAGGAGUAAUGACAAAUGGUAAAGCACAGAGCUGGACGCCAAGUCAGCUGGGAGACCACAGGCGCCACGUUAAGCUGAGUGCUGUUUUGGUUUUUUUGGGGUUUUUUUCCUUGUUUUUUUUUUGAGACAGCAUCUCACUCUGUCGCCCAGGCUGGAGUGCAGUGGCGUGAUCUCGGCUCGCCGCAACCUCCACCUCCCAGGUUCAGGCAAUUCUCAUGCCUCAGCCUCCUGAGUAGCUGGGAUUACAGGCCCAUGACACCAUGCCUGGCUAAUUUUUGUAUUUUUAGUAGAGAUGGGGUUUCACCAUGUUGUCCAGGCUGGUCUGGAACUCCUGGCCUCAAGUGAUCCACCCACCACAGCCUCCCAAAGUGCCGGGAUUACAGGCAUGAGCCACCACACCCAGCCAGCUGAUUGCUGUUGAAUAGCUGGAUUUAUAAAGACUGAGCAUAGGAGGAAAUGGCACAUCACUCUCAUUUUUAAUUUAUUCAUUAUUUUUAUAGUGUUUAAACUGUUCAUGUACCGGCAAUCUAGUUAUGCUUCAUAAAUCCUCAGGACAGAGAAUUUCUCCUCAAAAGGAAUUUAAGAUCUACCAAGUAGAAAUACAGAAAUUAAGAAAGGCAAAGUGAUCGUCCAAACGCAAAACCAACAAAGCCUAUAUGACAAGUCUCUAAGACACAUGGAUUGAUGACUGAUUUCAUUUGAUCAGGAAGUUAAUGAAAUCUACUUUAUACUCUCCUUUAAUUUUUGCCAAUCUCUGUUUAUAUGAGUUGCAGAAGUUAAGGCACUUUCAAAUAUAUUUGUGUCAAGGAAUAUUCACGGAAAUAUUUCCAGCUAUGUGUCGCUAAAACUGCAUUUAUUUAUUUUCUGU
rnacentral:sRNA from 1 species